GUCUAGAAGUGCAAAAAUCCCCAUUGGGUCGUAACCCCCUUCUCUCCUUCCAGUUAAUGUCGACCCCAGCAGCUCUCCCCUCCCCUUGGUCUCAUUUUUCCGGAGACGCUAGCCUUCAACCGACGGGCGUGAUCUCUUCCUCUCCUUAGCAACAGCUCUGGUCACUGCUUCCCCUAUCUCCGGCCUGCCAGUCUUAGUGCAAAGAUAAGAGAGACAGACCCCGAUUUGGUAUUGCCGGCCGACCUCAAGCAAUUUUCAACUAUUCUUCAAUUAGAUAAGCCGAUUAUCCUCCCUCCUCACUCAUUUGCAAGUUAUUUUAUCUAGAUUGGGCGAAUUAUUGAAGGAAUUGAUCAAAUGGAACUUAGGGCUUUAAGGAUAAAAAUCUGGAUUGCGUUAGAUAUUGACAUAAUUUGUACUAGUUGUCUAUAGAACUGAAUCCUAUAUGGAAUUUGCUAUGUGUUAGCGUAUGAGUUGCAAGAUUCUGGCAUCAAGGUACCUCCGGCCACCAAAAAGGGCAACAACGGUAGAGGCUCCGGUGACCGGAAUUCCUCAUAGACAAUGUGUUGUGAUGAUGAUGUGCUGUAUGUGUGAAAUUGGGAUGAAGUGGGUCACCGUUGGGUUUGUGAAGGCAGUCUUCGAUACCGUCGGCCAUGUAUGGGUAGAUCAGCGCCCCGUGUGCAUAUGAUGAUAUGGAUUAUGUGGAAAACCAUAGGGUGACCUCGUGUUGGUAUGGAAAGAAAAGAGAGUAUAAAAAAAAUGAGAGGGCUAGUCAAGUGAUGAUUAGACCGGUCGGCCAUGUAUGGGGGAUCGGCUCUCUAGUGCACAAGUCAUGCGAGGAUGGGCCAUGUGCGAGGAUGGCUCAUCGGGGGUUUCGAUGAUGCCACUGACCAAUUUCCACUUGUUUGAUUAUUUGAAGGUGUAAUUACUUGUAAGUGCUGAUGUUGUGCCAUAUGCUUGACUGGUUAUGUGUUCAUUUUAGUAUUUUAGGAAGCAUUUCGUGUGAAUACUUGUGUUAUGCAAUAUUUAUUAUUCAUUAUAAAACUCAUUUCUUUGUUUAACUUUUUCAAGAAGUAGAUUAUUCUUUGUCUCGGCUAAA